rnacentral:lncRNA from 1 species
UUUUUGCUGCACCUUCAGCAUAUGGAAGUUCAGGAGCCAGGGAUCCAAUCUGAGCUACAGCUGAGAUCUGUGCCACAAAUGCAGCAAUGCCGGAUCCUUAACCCAUUGCACCACAGCAGGAACUCCCUGUUGACCUUUAAAAUCACCAUGAUAUAUACCCUCCAACUACCACCUGGCAAAUUUGUGCUUUUUCUUCAAGCUCUACUUUUCAGCCAUUCUUUCAAGAAUCCACCACACCUCAUGCUUAAAGUUUGCUACUAAUUCCACAAUUCCCAGACAGGAAUAACUAGGAUCAUGUCUUUAUUUAUUCUUAAAAUCUCAGUGCCUGGCACAUAGUGAGUAUUCAAUAACAUUUGAGAAUUGAGUGAAAUAAACAUGUUAGCAUUUCUUCUUUCAUUGUCAUCAAAGCUAAACUCAGAAAUAAUGGUGACUAUAUCAUGAAAUAUUUUUCCCACAUAGUUCUCUUGUAAGCAAAGGGAAUUUUUCUCUUCUUAUUAUGACUAAAUUAGAAGACAGCAGGGCAAUGUGAAGAUAAUAGAGAGGAUAGCCUAGUAUCCAUAUCGACGAGCUUUUGAGCUUCACAGAGGAAGGCAUGCCAAGAGCUGGUUGAAUUACAUUUGUUAAAUACACUGUGAGGCUCUGUGCCCAAGCAGCACUGCCUUGGGGUCCCAGGAACAGUUAGAAGGUUCCUGAAACUUUGCCACCACCCUCCAAAGCACAUAGACACAUUCAGCCACAAGCCACAGAGCAACUUGGCCCUUGAAGGCUGAGAAUGAAUAGCCAUGAGCAGAGGUUGGCUGGGUCCCAGGGAAAAGUGUUUUCCUGGAGGGGACUCAUAGCAAAGGCAGCAGUGACAUGCAGUGACAAGGAGAUUGAGACACAAUAACAGAAGCAUACACAGUGCAAUAAGAUAGACACAAAAGGACCAGUAUUACAUGAUUCUACUUAUACAAGACACCUAGAGUUGUCAAAUUGCCUAGAGACAGAAUGUAGAAUCACGGUUGCUAGGAGCUGGGGGAAGGAUAAGGAGGAUAAACUGUUUAAUGGGUACAGUUUUAGUUUGGGAAGAUGAAAAAGUUCUGGAGGUGGAUGGUGGUGAUGGUUGCUCAACAAUGUGAAAGUACUUAAUGCCACUGGACUGUACACUUAAAAUUGGUUAAAAUGGUAACUGUUAUGUUAUGUAUGUUUUACCACAAUAAAAAAGCAAUAAAAGGCACACACAGAAAAGAACAGAAGCUUGCCUGCUUUCACACAUGAUCACAUAUAUAACAUCCAUGGGGCUCUCAGAAAUAACUAGAGUAGCCUUUAGAAGGGAGCUAAGGUUCUACAGUUGCUCAAAUAGAAAGGAGGAUGCACCAAUCUUAAUAUGACACAACUUAAACCCAUAUGCUAAUGAGUCCUGGGAACAUUAAGAUUAUCUGAGCCAGAAUGAGAUAAGCAUUAUAUUAAAAAGUAUUUUUUUUUUUUUGUCUUUUUGCCAUUUCUUGGGCCGCUCCCGGGGCAUAUGGAGGUUCCCAGGCUAAGGGUAGAAUGAGAGCUGCAGCCACUGGCCUACGCCAGAGCCACAGCAACGUGGAUCCGAGCUGAGUCUGCAACCUAUACCACAGCUCACGGCAACGCUGGAUCCUUAACCCACUGAGCAAGGCGUUACCAAGCUGAUGGGAGGCACAUAAAAAAAACAGGCACAACUUUUUGGCUACCAUGCUUAUUUUCUGAGUAACCUUUAUGACUAAGUUGAAAGAACUGAAAUGGUAAUAAAUGAAUUACGUAUUAGUUGACACAAUUAUUCUUCUUGGAUUGACAUACAUUUCAAAAUCAGUGGAAUAAUAACUGUAACUUUCUAUCUGAUUCUGCCCCUGAGAAUAAGGAUUAGAGUAUCCAAUGUUAUUUUAUGAAACACAGAGUCCUAUGGAUCUAUAAAAAAAUCCGUAGAGCUGUUUUAAAAUUAUCCUUAUGCACUAGUGUAACAAAAUAUCAUACAUUACUACAGUCAAUGCUCUAGUUAAUUCAUAAAUUUAAGGCCUCACUUAAAUUUAGGUUUACAACCAUGAUAAAAGCAGCACAUUUGCCACCACUGAAUAUCUAUUAAUAGCUAAUCCUCAGAGCAUUUCUAUGGGCCAAAUACAAUUAAAGAUGACGGAAGCAUGUGCUUACAUGCUUCCUUUCUUUUGUAUAUUCUGAAAACCUGCAGUGUACACUCCAGAGACACAUACAUACAAUCCACACCCAAGAAAAACCUAUUGCCCUUUAUAAAAUCUGAUUCAUAGGAUAAAAAGACAAGUGAAGAAGGGAAAAAAUGCAAUAUAUAAUCCAACAGGAGAAGUAGAUUAAUUAAAGCCUGUCAAAUUAGCCCAAGUAACUACCAAAACAGGACUCCUUAAUUGUCUUACUUAAUGAUGACAUCUGCAUUAUUAUGACUCCAAAGUGGUAUGUUUAACUGGCACUUCACUACUCUCACCGGUAAAUGGCAUAAGAACAUUUUAUGAUAAGACAGUUCACAUGUAAUUAGCCUUAAUAAGAAAAAAGAUAAACUAGAGAUCUACUAUAUAAUACUGCACCCAUAGUCAGCAAUAACAUAUUGUACACUAAGCAUUUGUUAAGAUGAUAGAUAUGUUAAGCGAUCUCUUCAAACUAAGAGAAAAUAAAAUUGAUAUAAAUGUUGUAGAAUC